AUGAACGCUGGCGGCGUGCCUAAUACAUGCAAGUCGAGCGAACGGACGAGAAGCUUGCUUCUCUGAUGUUAGCGGCGGACGGGUGAGUAACACGUGGAUAACCUACCUAUAAGACUGAGAUAACUUCGGGAAACCGGAGCUAAUACCAGAUAAUAUUUUGAACCGCAUGGUUCAAAAGUGAAAGACGGUCUUGCUGUCACUUAUAGAUGGAUCCGCGCUGCAUUAGCUAGUUGGUAAGGUAACGGCUUACCAAGGCAACGAUGCAUAGCCGACCUGAGAGGGUGAUCGCACACACUGGAACUGAGACACGGUCCAGGCUCCGACGGGAGGCAGCAGUAGGGAAUCUUCCGCAAUGGGCGAAAGCCUGACGGAGCAACGCCGCGUGAGUGAUGAAGGUCUUCGGAUCGUAAAACUCUGUUAGUAGGGAAGAACAAAUGUGUAAGUAACUGUGCACAUCUUGACGGUACCUAAUCAGAAAGCCACGGCUAACUACGUG
rnacentral:rRNA from 1 species